rnacentral:rRNA from 1 species
GAUGAACGCUGGCGGCGUGCCUAAUACAUGCAAGUCGAGCGAACGGACGAGAAGCUUGCUUCUCUGUUGUUAGCGGCGGACGGGUGAGUAACACGUGGAUAACCUACCUAUAAGACUGGGAUAACUUCGGGAAACCGGAGCUAAUACCGGAUAAUAUUUUGAACCGCAUGGUUCAAAAGAGAAAGACGGUCUAGCUGUUACUUCUAGAUGGAUCCGCGCUGCAUUAGCUAGUUGGUAGGGUAACGGCUUACCAAGGCAACGAUGCAUAGCCGACCUGAGAGGGUGAUCGGCCACACUGGAACUGAGACACGGUCCAGUCUCCUACGGGAGGCAGCAGUAGGGAAUCGUCCGCGAUGGGCGAAAGCCUGACGGAGCAACGCCGCGUGAGUGAUGAAGGUCUUCGGAUCGUAAAACUCUGUUAUUAGGGAAGAACAUAUGUGUAAGUAACUGUGCGCAUCUUGACGGUACCUAAUCAGAGAGCCACGGCUAACUACGUG